rnacentral:rRNA from 1 species
AUUGAACGCUGGCGGCAGGCUUAACACAUGCAAGUCGAGCGGGGAAGGGUAGCUUGCUACCUGACCUAGCGGCGGACGGGUGAGUAAUGCUUAGGAAUCUGCCUAUUAGUGGGGGACAACAUUCCGAAAGGAAUGCUAAUACCGCAUACGCCCUACGGGGGAAAGCAGGGGAUCUUCGGACCUUGCGCUAAUAGAUGAGCCUAAGUCAGAUUAGCUAGUUGGUGGGGUAAAGGCCUACCAAGGCGACGAUCUGUAGCGGGUCUGAGAGGAUGAUCCGCCACACUGGGACUGAGACACGGCCCAGACUCCUACGGGAGGCAGCAGUGGGGAAUAUUGGACAAUGGGCGAAAGCCUGAUCCAGCCAUGCCGCGUGUGUGAAGAAGGCCUUGUGGUUGUAAAGCACUUUAAGCGAGGAGGAGGCUACUUGGAUUAAUACUCUAGGAUAGUGGACGUUACUCGCAGAAUAAGCACCGGCUAACUCUGUACCAGCCGCCGCCGUAAUAC